rnacentral:rRNA from 1 species
AGUGAACGCUGGCGGUAGGCCUAACACAUGCAAGUCGAACGGCAGCACAGUAAGAGCUUGCUCUUACGGGUGGCGAGUGGCGGACGGGUGAGGAAUACAUCGGAAUCUACUUUUUCGUGGGGGAUAACGUAGGGAAACUUACGCUAAUACCGCAUACGACCUACGGGUGAAAGCAGGGGAUCUUCGGACCUUGCGCGAUUGAAUGAGCCGAUGUCGGAUUAGCUAGUUGGCGGGGUAAAGGCCCACCAAGGCGACGAUCCGUAGCUGGUCUGAGAGGAUGAUCAGCCACACUGGAACUGAGACACGGUCCAGACUCCUAUGGGAGGCAGCAGUGGGGAAUAUUGGACAAUGGGCGCAAGCCUGAUCCAGCCAUACCGCGUGGGUGAAGAAGGCCUUCGGGUUGUAAAGCCCUUUUGUUGGGAAAGAAAAGCAGCAGGUUAAUACCCCGCUGCUCUGACGGUACCCAAAGAAUAAGCACCGGCUAACUUCGUG